rnacentral:rRNA from 1 species
GACGGAGGGUGCUAGCGUUGUUCGGAAUUACUGGGCGUAAAGCGCGUGUAGGCGGUUAUCCAAGUCAGGUGUGAAAGCCUUGAGCUCAACUCAAGAAAUGCACUUGGUACUGGGUGACUAGAGGACCGGAGAGGAUAGUGGAAUUCCCAGUGUAGUGGUGAAAUACGUAGAGAUUGGGAAGAACACCAGUGGCGAAGGCGGGUCUCUGGGCCGAUACUGACGCUGAGGAGCGAAAGCGUGGGGAGCGAACAGG